rnacentral:lncRNA from 1 species
UUCCAAUGUGCCACCUACUUUAGUGGAAAAAAAGAUAGAAGAUCUUACAGAGAUUUUGGAUCGCUAUGUUCAGGAUCAAAUUCCUGGUGCCAAGGUGGUGGUAGAAUCCAUUGGUG